rnacentral:rRNA from 1 species
UACGAAGGGGGCUAGCGUUGAUCGGAAUCACUGGGCGUAAAGCGCACGUAGGCGGAUUGCUAAGUCAGGGGUGAAAUCCUGGAGCUCAACUCCAGAACUGCCUUUGAUACUGGCGACCUUGAGUCCGGGAGAGGUGAGUGGAACUGCGAGUGUAGAGGUGAAAUUCGUAGAUAUUCGCAAGAACACCAGUGGCGAAGGCGGCUCACUGGCCCGGUACUGACGCUGAGGUGCGAAAGCGUGGGGAGCAAACAGG